CCUACGGGGGGCAGCAGUGGGGAAUAUUGCACAAUGGGGGAAACCCUGAUGCAGCGACGCCGCGUGAGUGAAGAAGUAAUUCGUUACGUAAAGCUCUAUCAGUAGGGAAGAAAAUGACGGUACCUGAGUAAGAAGCCCCGGCUAACUACGUGCCAGCAGCCGCGGUAAUACGUAGGGGGCAAGCGUUAUCCGGAUUUACUGGGUGUAAAGGGAGCGUAGACGGUUUGCCAAGUCAGGAGUGAAAUGCUGCGGCUUAACUUCAGAACUGCUUUGGAAACUGGCGAACUAGAGUUCGGGAGAGGUAAGCGGAAUUCGUAGUGUAGCGGUGAAAUGCGUAGAUAUUAGGAGGAACACCGAUGGCGAAGGCGGCUUACUGGACCGUAACUGACGUUGAGGCUCGAAAGUGUGGGGAGCAAACAGGAUUAGAUACCCGAGUAGUC
rnacentral:rRNA from 1 species